rnacentral:rRNA from 1 species
UACGUAGGGUGCGAGCGUUGUCCGGAAUUAUUGGGCGUAAAGCGUGCGCAGGCGGUUCUGAAAGUCAGCUGUGAAAGCCCCGGGCUUAACCUGGGAAUUGCGGUUGAAACUACAGGGCUAGAAUCUGGCAGAGGGGGGUGGAAUUCCACGUGUAGCAGUGAAAUGCGUAGAGAUGUGGAGGAACACCGAUGGCGAAGGCAGCCCCCUGGGCUGAGAUUGACGCUCAGGCACGAAAGCGUGGGGAGCAAACAGG